UACGUAGGGUGCAAGCGUUGUCCGGAAUUAUUGGGCGUAAAGAGCUCGUAGGCGGCUUGUCACGUCGGGUGUGAAAGCCCGGGGCUUAACCCCGGGUCUGCAUUCGAUACGGGCUGGCUAGAGUGUGGUAGGGGAGAUCGGAAUUCCUGGUGUAGCGGUGAAAUGCGCAGAUAUCAGGAGGAACACCGGUGCGGAAGGCGGAUCUCUGGGCCGAACUUACUGCGCUGAGGAGCGAAAGCUGGGGAGCGAACAGG
rnacentral:rRNA from 1 species